ACCUUUUCACACACAAAACAAAAAGCCCACCACCGCCACCUCAAGCUUUUCAGCACUUGAUUUCAAUUAGCUUUGGCAGUGGUGGAAGACUCAAGGAUAUUGAAGUCCUGAUAGUUUGGUGAAAAAGAGCAGCUGGGUAACUUACAGAGAGCUCUUCUGUGGAAAGCAAGGUGGUUGUUGCCUGUUCUGUUUGACAGCCAUCAGCUAGAAUGAAGCUUUUAUGAGCACGUUUGUCUUCUACCCAGCUGGCAAAACCGAAAAGGAGGAUAAGAGGCACGUAGAAUAACUGCAAACAGCAAUGUGCACUGUUAGACCUGAUGUGAUAAAAAGCUGAAUUUGCUAGUUUUACUGGUUUUAGAACUAGUUUCUGACUGUUGUAGGCAGGGAUUUAUUCUAAGUGAGCCACACCAGAGGAACUGUGGUUAAGACUACCUCGCUGCAGCCACUGUUUUGGCAAGGACAGAGGAAAGUGGAAGGUAAAUCUUGCAGACUGAUUUAAUUCUGAUAUACCCCAGAAGGGGUAAAUGCAAAGGAAAAGAUCUGGAACAACAGCACAAGGGUUAUGUACUGUACUGCAGAAAGAAAAGCAAGGCUCAUCAAGUUUUCUAGGGCAGGAUGCCAUGCAGGCAUCACUUAUUCUGAGCUGCUUGUUUAGUGCUCUCACUGUGACUUAAAAAACAUGUAUUUCAGGAAAAGCUCACUACUUGAAUACCAUAUCUAUUCAAGGAACAAUCCUUCAGUACAGGCUGUUAGCAAAUUAACUGCUUUUAUUCAAUCAGAUGGAGUCAAGCUGCUAAACAUUUUUAAUAUAUGAGACUGAAAAUGAUUAUAACCCUACUGGGUUAUAAUCUGGGCAUGAAUACCUGGAUGUAUUGGGAAAAAUAAGUUUGACUUCAGAGUCAAAGAUUUGCUUCUCAUCCAAAUCUUACCCGCUUGAAGCUUUAGUAAAUGAAAUCAGAAUUCAGAACUAGCAAUCUUAAAGAUUUAUCCAGCUAAAUCAGUUGGAUGGAGUUCCAGUCAGUGUUGCACCGUGCCUCAAAACACUGAACAGGUCUCUCUGAUGGAGCACAGUACAGCCUCCCUGAAGCUAAUAUAGAUAAACUCAGAUGGAAGGUUUGUCUACCCUCAGAAACUUAUUUCCUUCCCCACUUCUCUUUGCUUACAACUUUGAUUCUUCACAAGAGUAAUGACGUACUUCAUUUUUUUUAAAAUUUUUUUUUUCCAGAAUGUCACCUGGCAAAUCAGUUUCUAAAGACUGCUGCUGAAUGGAUAAAAUCAUGUCAUGCUUCAGCUGUGCAGUGUGCUGUAAAACCAACCUCACCGAGUGAUGGCAAACAGCUUUUUGACAUUACUCUAUCACUUUAUGGCAACUGAAUGACAUCCCUACAAAUAAAUAAUUUUUAAACAAACUAUGUUAAGGAUUUUGUCUACCCUCUCUGCUUGGAAUUUUCAGCUCAGAUGGUGAGUAUUCCUUCUCUGUAAUGAUUUAUGCACUUGUAAUUGUGUGUGAGAUAUAUAUUUAUAAAUGCAUAUGCAGACGUGAACCAGCUAAGCUAAGUAUGCUGUCUUGAACCUGACGGGCUGUUUGAUUUUGUUUAAGAAGGCUGAUGUUUGCUGUUACAGAAUGCCUAGGCAUCCCUGUCAAGAAGCAAGGCUCACUGGGUUGUGCAAUGUCCUGGCACGUUAAGAAGCCAUUACCUCCUCCUACACACAGUUCACAAGACACAAUGCAACAGGUGGAUGAAAGACAUGUUACGUGGGGGCGUUUUGGAAAAAUGAGGCAACAACAAACCAAAGAGGACAGUGGAAAAGCAGCAGUCAUUUCGCCACCUGCUUUUAUUGGUGAGUUGAUUUUUCUGGCAGAUGUUUGGGAUUUGCUUGGAUUUGCAAACCGUAUCUACAAGCAAGCAAAAAAACAUAAAUAUGUGCAUUGAGAUUAAAAAAAAAAAAA